rnacentral:rRNA from 1 species
CAGUCGAGCGAAUGGAUUGAGAGCUUGCUCUCAAGAAGUUAGCGGCGGACGGGUGAGUAACACGUGGGUAACCUGCCCAUAAGACUGGGAUAACUCCGGGAAACCGGGGCUAAUACCGGAUAACAUUUUGAACUGCAUGGUUCGAAAUUGAAAGGCGGCUUCGGCUGUCACUUAUGGAUGGACCCGCGUCGCAUUAGCUAGUUGGUGAGGUAACGGCUCACCAAGGCAACGAUGCGUAGCCGACCUGAGAGGGUGAUCGGCCACACUGGGACUGAGACACGGCCCAGACUCCUACGGGAGGCAGCAGUAGGGAAUCUUCCGCAAUGGACGAAAGUCUGACGGAGCAACGCCGCGUGAGUGAUGAAGGCUUUCGGGUCGUAAAACUCUGUUGUUAGGGAAGAACAAGUGCUAGUUGAAUAAGCUGGCACCUUGACGGUACCUAACCAGAAAGCCACGGCUAACUACGUGCCAGCAGCCGCGGUAAUACGUAGGUGGCAAGCGUUAUCCGGAAUUAUUGGGCGUAAAGCGCGCGCAGGUGGUUUCUUAAGUCUGAUGUGAAAGCCCACGGCUCAACCGUGGAGGGUCAUUGGAAACUGGGAGACUUGAGUGCAGAAGAGGAAAGUGGAAUUCCAUGUGUAGCGGUGAAAUGCGUAGAGAUAUGGAGGAACACCAGUGGCGAAGGCGACUUUCUGGUCUGUAACUGACACUGAGGCGCGAAAGCGUGGGGAG